GUCCUACGGGGGGCAGCAGUGAGGAAUAUUGGUCAAUGGGCGGGAGCCUGAACCAGCCAAGUCGCGUGAGGGAAGACGGUCCUAUGGAUUGUAAACCUCUUUAGGCGGGGAGCAAUGCCGGGCACGCGUGCCCGGAGGGAGAGUACCCGCAGAAUAAGCAUCGGCUAACUCCGUGCCAGCAGCCGCGGUAAUACGGAGGAUGCGAGCGUUAUCCGGAUCUAUUGGGUUUAAAGGGUGCGUAGGCGGAUUUUUAAGUCAGCGGUAAAAUGUCCGGGCUCAACCCGGGCUGGCCGUUGAAACUGGGG
rnacentral:rRNA from 1 species